GAGGGUAUAGCUCAGUGGUAGGGUCUGUGCCUAGCAUGCAGGACGUCUUGGGUUCAAUCCCCAGUAUCUCCA
rfam:Camelus ferus unplaced genomic scaffold scaffold290, whole genome shotgun sequence.